rnacentral:misc_RNA from 1 species
GAUGAAGAACGUAGCGAAAUGCGAUACUUGGUGUGAAUUGCAGAAUCCCGUGAACCAUCGAGUCUUUGAACGCAAGUUGCGCCUCAAGCCAUUAGGUUGAGGGCACGUCUGCCUGGGCGUCACAUAUCGUUGCCUGAUGCCAGUUUCCUCGUGAUGGGUGACUGUGCAGGGCGAAUGAUGGCUUCCCGUGAGCAUUGUUGCCUCAUGGUUGGUUGAAAAUUGAGUCCUUGGUAGGGAGCGCCGUGAUAGAUGGUGGUUGAGUGACGAACGAGACCCAAUCAUGUGAGACCCCUACCGAAUUUGGCCUUCAUGACCCACAUGCGUCUUUGGAACGCUCACGACGAGACCUCAGGUCAGGCGGGGCUACCCGCUGAGUUUAAGCAUAUCAAUAAGCGGAGGA